CGCUGACGGGCGGCCGCGGCGCGGUGCCCUUAUUGGUUUGAAAUUCCAUUAAAUAUAUUGCAAGAGCGCCUAGGUUAAGCUUGAUUUAAAUUUGCAUACAUUUUCAUACAUUUAGCAGAAAUAAAAGAAGGCUUGCAGCUACCAGAAAGUCAUUAAGGCAUUAGUUUCCCCGAGAAGACAGAUCUGAAGAAAAUUCAAGAAAAUGGGAAAAUUGAUAGAAAGAAGGUGGAGCUGAAUACAAUGUCUGCAUUUGUGGCUAACUCCAAGCAAUACAUUAUGAAGAUGAUGUUAUUCAGACACACACCCAAACAAUUUGAUUCAGACAAAUUGGAUAUGAGACUUUGACCAGCAUGAGAAGAACAGCAGCCUGCACGUGAAGCUGAGCAUCACUCUCCUGCCCCAUGCACAGAAUGUUGCAGAUGCCAACACCAAUGGGACGCAAAAUUCUGCCCACAGCACUCCCAUGUGUGCUGAUGAGACAAGAACUGACCAGGAAAGGUCUCAACCAGCUGGUAAAGUGUAUUCCUUCUGCUCCCGUCUACCAACAGCUGUGCUCCUGAGGUCCCCUUUUUUAGAAGCAAGUGAAGAGACCUCAGUAAGAACAGCAGUGUGAUAACAGUUGUGGGGUGAGCUGGGUUUUUCCUAUCAAACCAAAGUCUCUCUCUAACAAUGACAGAACCCCACAGGUCUUCUGGUGGGGAGCACAGCAUCCAAAAUCAUUGCAUGGGUAAAUGAAGACAGCUAAUGCUGUUUGCUGGUUUCAGCUUGAUGUAACCAAUUGCACUGGUCAAGUUAAGCUGCAUGACAGUGUGAAAUACUUAAAUAGCCAUUGUAGUGUUUCUGAGAGGACAGCUGGCUGCAGGUGCUCUGCAAGAUCACAGUGCAGCGUCAUGCUUUCAGAGCUCGCACAAUGGGCAGAGGCUCAGAAAUUUGGGUGGCAUGGAUGACACAGGUUCAGCAUGGCCAACCCCCCGCAGAGCUGCUUUCUGACUGCAGGGGAAGUCAUCUCCCGUGUCGCUUUUGAUUCAGGAGCUGUAUUUGGCCUCUGCGUGGGAGCAGAGCUAAAGGAGGAGCGCGGCAUUGCCUGCAGCAUUCGGCCUUCAGCAGAGCCCCGCGCCAGGCAACUCCUGCACAUCUGUGCUGACAGGGCCGUGACAGGAGGUCCCCAAACCAGCAGCCAUGCUUUCAUGCCUGUGCUGAAAGGAGAUGCACAGCAAGGCAGGCAGGAAGGCUGCACGAGGCAGUGCUGCUGUGCCUCCUGCCUGCACCGUGUCAGCCGGGCUGCGCCGUUCGCCCAUCUUUGCGGGAGCACAUCUGUGCAAUGGAAACCUGCGGGGUUUGCUGCACUCCUACUGACAGUUCAUAUUUUAAUCCUUUUUGUUUUCUCUUUAGGAAACAAUUCUCUGACCUUUUUUUGUGUGAAGUGCAAUGGCGAUAGAUAGCACUGUGCAGCGAGGAGUUCUGAAUGAUGGAAAUGCAGAGAUGUCUGCUGAGGUUUGCAUACUGCUGCCACCACGCAGAGGAGAUCUCAUACUGAAAGUGUGAUCACAGCUGAACCCCCAUAUGGAUUAUUUCAAUGGAAAGUCAAGAAAACAGCUAUUGAUUUCUCUUUCAUGAAUAUAAAGCAGAGAUCUUGUGUAAGAGAAGACAACGUUAAAAUAACCAAGCACCAGAAGGGGCUAAGGGAAAAGCCUGAGGUUAGAGCAGAAAGAAAUGCUUGUAUUCAAAGUUUAUAACCGUUUUGAAAUAAUAAAAACUGUGGUUAAACUAUUUACUUCAAUUAGCUUCAUGGUCAGGAAAACCACCAUCACUUAGAUCCCACUUAUAAAAAUGUGUUCUACACCAUUCUGAAACCCCAGAAGACAAUAAAAAACUGUGGGCUUUCUGAUGUUUGAGUGUGCUGGGAUUAGGUGCAAGUUGCUGGGCGUUCCUAGAAACACUAUUUCAGAACAUUUGAACACUCCAACUUUUGGAUCGGUCCGUGCAGUUGGGCUACGUGUGCGAUAGGGGUGCCUGGCUGUGAUGAGAUGGACUUGUGAUGCUGCUGCCUUCCCUGAGCUUCACCUCCUCCAGCUGAGCAUUGUGGCCCCGGCGAAGUCAACCAAGAGUUUGCCGUAGACUUAAUGGAGCCAGAAUUCCAUCCCAGGAGAGGAACAACUGAAGUAGAGUGCCACGGGCUGGUGGCCUGUAGCAAUCUCAGGUGAUGCAGGAGCGAAAAUGUCCUUGUCACGUAACUGAUGUCCUCAGCCCAAGGUUCCCUGAUUUCACUCUGGAUUUUCUGCUGCGUUUCUGUUCAUUGUUGUUGCAGCUCUGUGGAUAACGUGUUAAGGGGUUGUUCUUAAGAAAGAAAGAUUUAACUUUUUUAAAGGGACGGGUGAUUUGUAGAAGACGUUUGUGUAAUUUUGUAUUCUAAAUGUGAUUUAUUUUUAUAAAUAAAUUUGCAUAAAAUCUCC
rnacentral:lncRNA from 1 species